UGCCCAGCAACUCCUAUCCCUACCUCCUCGCGGUACUGGCCGGGGUACGAGUAACCUUAGGGAAGAUUGGGUAACCAACCCCCGGUGGGAACUUUGGUCGUAUGCUGACAGGGAAGG
rnacentral:ribozyme from 1 species